ACUACUGAUGUCACCAGAGCCACAAUCAAAGCCAGGAACCUGUAGACAAAAUGGUGUUUGUGCGUCCAGAGCAGACCGAGUCUAAGUGGGGAUGAAAUGGGGGUUGAAAAAAAUUCAGACAAAAAUACAAAUCAUCACAGUCUUUUUUUUUCCUGCUUUAUUGCAUAUGUAUAAAUGAAGUUCAAAAGGCAGAUGGGAAAAACAUUAGCCUCUCUAUUCACCAGGGUCCUCCCACCCUUUCUGUCUUGCUCUGUUAUCCACCCACAUGUACCGUCUGAGAAAAAAAAAAAGUGCAUGAGGUGACGCUCCUCCAAAGGAACAGAGAGAGGGGGGGUGUCUACAGGCUGCAUCUCAUCUGAAACAUUUGGAUGAGGGGGGAGACAGAGGAAGAGCCUGAAUGGUAGCUACACCCUGCGCCUGGAAGCGUAGAGAAAGAGAAAUAGAGAGGCACUGUUAAAAAAAGAAAAAAGAAAAAACAACAACAAAAAAGCUGGCAGUUAUUUUUCUUUUUUGGCAAUAACAAAGAGGUGGGAGAGAGAAAAUAGCACAUAUAAGAGGGGGACUUCUGCUUCAUUUCAUCCGAAAGACUCCAUCCCUGUGCCAUCAUCAGCAUGACCAUAAGCUCUAUAAGUAACAUCCGGCAAUAAUAACAACGGGUAUCAAUAGGAGGUUUCCAGCAACAGAUGCGCGCUAUUUCAUUUUGAUUGGAGAGAAAAAAACACCUAAAAAAGAUCAACUGAAUGCCUGCGAGAAACUGGACUCUGAAAGCAUAAGGCAGAGCGAUCAAACAGAGAAAUCUACAUUUUGAUUGAUCCUUUUUUUUUUUUUAAAGCUUGAUGUGCGUGUCUCUGCGCGCACUCGAAACGAACCUGAGCCAAAAGCAAACUCCUCAGACUCCUCCCUCCUCCUCCUCCCUUCGGUUUCUCGCAUCCUCUCCCUCCCCCCCGGUGCUCUAUGAUCAAUUCGGUGUGUGUAUCCUCUUUCAAAGGGCGCAAGGGUGGGAACAAGUCGUCCAACAAAGCAUGUUACAGCGCAGACAUGACUUGCCCGUCGGAAAGCGAGAAAAUCGUGAUAAACUGCGGGGGGGUGAGGCAUGAGACCUACCGGAGCACCCUGAAAACACUCCCGGGGACCCGCCUGUCGUGGCUCACCGAGCCGGACGCCUUCAGCAACUUCGACUACGACCCCAAAUUGGACGAGUUCUUCUUCGACCGCCACCCGUCCGUCUUCUCAUUCAUCCUUAACUACUACCGCACCGGAAAGUUGCACUGUCCCAACGAUGUGUGCGGUCCACUGUUCGAGGAGGAGCUGGCCUUCUGGGGCAUUGAUGAGACGGACGUGGAGGCGUGUUGCUGGAUGAACUACCGGCAGCACAGGGACGCGGAGGAGGCGCUGGACAGCUUCGAGACCCCGGAGCCGGACGCGCCGGACGACGACCCGGCUCUGGGUGGCGCGGACGGGGACUUGAAAAGACUGUGUCUGCAGGAGGACGCACGAAGAGCUGGUUUUUGGAAGACCUGGCAGCCCAGAAUAUGGGCUCUGUUCGAGGACCCGUAUUCUUCCAAAUAUGCCCGGUAUGUGGCAUUUAUUUCCCUCUUCUUCAUCCUCAUCUCCAUUUCGACAUUCUGCAUGGAGACGCACGAGGCCUUCAACACCAUCCUAAACAAGACAGAGAACGUCACGCAUGGCAACACAACCCGUGAGGAAAUAGUGUACGAAGUGGUGACUGACAGCUGGUUGACAUACGUUGAAGGUGUAUGUGUCAUUUGGUUUACAAUUGAGGUCUUGCUGCGAGUCAUCUUCUGUCCAGACAAGUUGGAAUUCUUCAAAAGUGCCCUCAACAUCAUCGACUUUGUUGCCAUCCUGCCCUUCUACUUGGAGGUUGGCUUGAGCGGUCUCUCCUCCAAAGCUGCCAAGGAUGUCUUGGGGUUCCUCCGCGUUGUCCGAUUCGUCCGUAUCCUUCGAAUCUUUAAGCUCACUCGUCACUUUGUGGGUCUCCGUGUCCUCGGCCACACCCUUCGUGCCAGUACCAAUGAAUUCCUCCUCCUCAUCAUCUUCCUGGCCCUUGGAGUCCUCAUCUUUGCCACUAUGAUCUACUAUGCUGAGCGAAUUGGGGCAGACCCAGAAGACCCUACUGCCAGUGCCCACACCAACUUCAAGAACAUCCCCAUUGGAUUUUGGUGGGCCGUGGUGACAAUGACCACAUUGGGUUAUGGUGAUAUGUAUCCGGAGACAUGGUCAGGAAUGCUGGUUGGUGCGCUCUGUGCCUUGGCUGGUGUGCUAACCAUUGCUAUGCCCGUACCUGUCAUUGUCAACAACUUCGGCAUGUACUAUUCUCUGGCUAUGGCCAAGCAAAAGCUGCCCAAAAAGAAGAACAAACAUAUCCCUCGUGCACCUCAGCCAGGUUCACCAAACUACUGCAAGCCGGACGCCCUAGCAAUGGCUACUGCAUCACCACAAAGGAUCUUGGGAAAUGUCUUAGGUGGAGUGAUGGGAUCUGGUGGUUUAGGGGGCGACUGUCCUCUUGCUCAAGAGGAAAUCAUAGAAAUCAAUAGAGAUUCUAAGCAGAACGGUGAUGCAGCCUCGGCUGCUUUGGCUAAUGAGGACUGCCCAACCAUUGAUCAGGUGCUGAGCCCCGACGAACGGAGUCCCAUUGGGCGGGGCCCCACUCGGGAACGUUACCAGCAGGACCGAGCUUGCUUCCUACUCAACACCAGGGAAUUCCGUGCCACAGAUGGGAAUGUGCGGAAAGAGGCAGCAGCCCUGGCUCCCAGCCCAGACUCCCCUCUGACUGAGGAUUGGUAUAAGAUGGAGGGGUCUCUGUUACAGCAGGACCUCAAUGCAAACUCCACCUCCUCCUGGAUCAAACCAUAGCCCAGAGGUUGUGUCAUAUCACGCGUGUGCCGCCACUGCAGUGCAAGUGUAACUAAAGUCUGACUCUAGUGUUAAGUUUCUAGCAUUCGCCUUCUCUGUUAGGAGGAGUCAGUAACUGGUAAACAUAAUUGCGGCGGGAGCCACAUAAGCAACAGGCUUUUCACGGAUGGACAGUUGAAAGGAGAUCUUUGAGGUGACGAGAGAGACCAGAGGGUAAUCACGAUAAAAAACAAAACAUAUAUAUAAAUAUAUAUCACAUGGUCUGCUCCUCACAUUGUUACCAAAGCAGCCUCUUGGAUCGCCGACCACAAUUUUUGACAACAGUUCACCUGCCCCUGACCCAGUUCUCCUCCCUAUACCCCCUUACCCUUUCCUUCAAGCUGACUGAGCAUUGCACUGACACACUUUUGGAGAAAAAAGGACUCCUGAUGACACAUUCCAGACAACAUCUCUCUGACAGUGUUAGAACGCCAUCCUGCUUAUAGACCAAAUCAGCACCGUCUGCAGUGCUGAAAAACUGAGCAAGUUUUCCAGUUAGCACUUGCUAUCACCUGGACUCACUGAACAAUGUAGCAUUUCUGCUAACACACUGUAGCAUCUGUUGGUUGGGAAAUACCUUGUCUAAAAACCAAUCUAUCCACAGUUCAUCGAGAGAGAAAAAUUAUGCAUUCAAGGGAUCUUCUAGAUGUCACUCUUGUAUUCCUUACCAGUGAAAAAGAAAAAAAGUCAUUUAGGGAGCACAUGAGAGACAAAGGAUUGGUCUUGUUCAAUGCACAAAUACCAGAAGAAUCAUAAAUGCAGUCUUUAAAAGCACACCCCGAUCGUCCCUUGUUAAAGUUUAGCACUUGUAUAGUCUUCCAUUAACUUCUAUUAGACUGAAGUACUGCCCUGCUCAUCAAACAGCACUAACUCUGAAGCUGAACAAUCAAAGCACAUGUAGCAUUACCUGAAACAAGUCAUAGAAAUCCAUUUUAUACUCGCCCAAAAAAGUCUUUAUCACUAAAUAGUGUGAAAAGACUUAUCCUUAUCUCUUAUGUACUGGUGUGGGCUUGCACGGAAAUCUAUGUUGAGUACCAAAGGUCUUUUAGCAUGCACUUGCUGAAUGACCCUCUGUAAUGUCAAGUAGAUUAGUAAAGGUAUUUGAUAUAAGGUGAGGCUGCUACUCUCUCUCAUACUAAUCAUCGUCUUUUGGUCCUUUUACUGCCAGUAGCUUCCGGUGCCUCACUGCACAUGAAGGAAAUGUCCCCAUACAUUGGUGACACAGACAUGAGAAGUAAAUAGACUGACUCAAAGAGUCAAACCCUGUUAGGUUAUUGACCUGCCCUGCCUAAAUUACAGCGUUGUUGUGAAGGGGACCAAUGUGAUUACAAUUUCCCCAACACUGCCGUUUAGGCACAAGACUCCUCUGAUGCAUACUGCCCUGCCUCUCUCUUGUCCCUCUUGCUGCCAACAAGUGCUUCACUGGCAACACAAUGUCACGGUGAAGUUCAGGAGGGAGGAGUCCUUUUCGACCAAAAGGAGAUAUUCAGUGAAACAGACCAAGUGCAGAGCAAACGUGGACAUGUACAAAGAGAACAAAUCUAUAUUUUGAUAAACAAAUCUACGACGCUCCAUGGCUUUGGAGAGGGUUUCCUGUCCGGGAAGAGUCCAGUGAGAGAGAAGAUAGAAAAAAAAAAAGAGUCAAGGUCUCAUACAAGCUGGAAAAGAGAAUUGCUGGUAGAAAAGAUGCAAGAAAAGAAGCUUCAUGCUGGGGUGUGCAACAUAAUUUACCCCACAGGGUUUGGAAAAAAAGCUUUUUUGAAAGAACCUAAGCAGAGACUGACUCUUGCCUAUUCAUACAUGAAAAAGGAAAAAGGAUGAACAAUAAGAACAAUGGGAAAAAAAAUGCAUUUUUGUAACUUUGUUUACCAGCAUGACUACUUUGCAUGACUGUCUUUUCUGCAAGCCCUUAGUUGAAGACAAGGGUGCUAGAGAUACAAAAAAGUAUAUAUAAAGUAAAUUUAAAAAAUGUUAUAUGCAAUUAAUGUUUUAAAAAAAGAUUAUAAUUAAAGAGAAGAGCUAUAUUUUCUUUUGAAAAGUAAAAAAAAAUGUGAAUAUUGAAACAUGUAUGUUUGCAAAGUACACCCUGAAGUAUGUUUUGUUUGAUGAAAUCUCUCUGCUACUACUGCCCUACACUCUUCAUUCCAGUGUUUAUGACCGCUGCCAUAGUUUUUAUUUUGAAAUGCGUUUAGCAGCAUACUUUCUAAGCAGUCGAUCGGCCUACUUUGCCCGUAGCAUCUGAGCAAAGUGUGCUAGUUGUUGUCAGUCACAAAUUCCAUGUUUCCUCCUCCACUUAUUUGCACAUCCUCCGUAGCAAAAGCAGCACCCGUCCAGAAACAGCAGUUAUCCAUGUCACAGUUGUGAAAGCUUGAUUAGCAAUCAUAGUUUGUUUGUUUUCUUUGGCAAUAAGGCAAGAGUUGUCACGACUGUAGCAGAUCAAAAUGGAGUCCUUUGACAUACCUUCAUAGCUUUGGAGUUAAAGACAUUCUUGAGAGCCUUGGAUGCCUCAUUUGCAGAGAUAGCUGUCUGGCCCUCUGCAGAAGAACAGGAAGACCAAUAAGACGAUAAAAGAUGCAAUACGGCAAGGAGUCAGAGAUUUUAAGUUUGCAUGGUACUAACUGAUUUUCCAAGGUUAGAGAGUGGGCUUAGGGACUCAGGUGUGCUGAUAGUGUGUGUGGAUGUAGGUCUUUUGCUAUUUUCUUUCUAACAUAAUAAAUUCUACUAUAUAGAAACAUAAUGUGAACACCUCACAGUGAUGUGUUAAAGAUAAAAAAAAACAAAAACAAGAAAAAACAAACAAAAAAAGCAUGCAUUAUGACUUGAUAAUCUCUCAAGGGGGAACAGAGUCUUGCCAUUUCCCCUCAGCCUUUUGUCAUGGUUCCUGUCAUGAUUCCAGUCCUGAUAACUUUAUAAACACUGUGCCGUGUUGUAGAACAGCAAAGUCUUCCUCUGAGAGGCAACUGAAAACUACUCACACUCACAGUGUCAGCAUGAGUGUGUAUAGGUAGCUUGUCUUCAUUUAUUUUUUUUUUAAAGAACAGGUCAUAGCAUCUGUCGUUACCGUAUGGUGGAGUACUUGUCAUCUCACUGGCUAGCUCAUCGCAUCGCACAACGCAGUCAUGCAAGCACCAAUCAAAAAGACCCAGAGCUUCCAAAAUGAUGUCAGAAGGGGAGACAGAAAGGGUAAGAGUUAGCUGUGUCCACCUGGGGGAGGCUGAUGACAAUAAAAAUAAUGAAGUUGAAGGAAGACGGGGGAUCUGAGUGUUGAGGGGUCUUUGAGAACCUCUCCUUUCGUUUUGAUUUCCAAGUGAGUUUCAGGCCCCGCUGGUCCGGGGUUUAGCUCAGGCAGCUGAAUGGUCCUCGGCCCAUUUCUUGAACAGUUCAGUUGGAAACCCACCAGAACAUGUUGUGAUGUAGACUACAGAGAGCGUUCAACAGUUCUGAUGAGUCUGCGCAGGUUUUACAGGGUCAAGAGCUUUCUCUAUUUACAAAAAAAAAAAAAAUGUUUCAGAGUACAUCCCUUUUAAAACAUGUUCAGUUUCCCUUUGGGAAGGUUCUCAUAGCUUGGAUGGCCACAGAGGUUUUUCAGAGGCGGCGUGCAAACCGGCAAAAGAAAACUUUGUGCUUCACCCAACUCUUUGUGAAAAAAUUUUUGUUUUUUUUUCCGACCAGGUGGUAUUUUAAUUUUAUGCCACUGCUCUCCAGUGUUAGUUAGGUUUGCCAUAUCUUUGUUUUCCACAUUGGGAAUAUGUCUGCCAGUGGUACCCUGAAAAAAGAUGUCUUUUUUUUUCCAAAUGCAUAAUACUGCCAUUUAAUUUAAACUCAGUGAAUAGAAUGGAUUACAAUGUUGAUUGUGCUAAGUCUGUUUUAUUUUUAAAGGUUCUUUCUGUUAGAAAAUACAAAAAAGGUCCUUAUCAAAAGAACAGAAAUGCUUUACACAAUAUUUCAAGGCUACUUUGUGUUUGUGUGUUAGCCAGAUAUAUCCUCUGCAGAUAUUUAGAGGAUGUCACAUGGUCCUUGCACAACAUAUCCUUUAUGGCAUCCUGUUUAGUUUACUUGCAUGUUUUUUUUUCUCUCUUCUGAAAUGUUUUCACCAUGUCUAUUUUUGUUUGAGGACACUGUAUGCAAUCCACACCAUGAAUGCCACUGAUUGACACUUACUGUAUGCUCCCUGAGACACAGAUGUACUGUCAUCAGUCUAGAUGUUUUCAGAUACCUAUGGAGUGGCGCUGUGGCUUUCCAUAGUUUAACAUAGCAAUCACAUAUAUCUAAAAAAAAAAAUAUUUUAAAAUUGAUAAGAAAAGAGUUAUCUUAGAGCAAAUUCUAUCACAUUAUAUAUAGUUUUUUGAUAUAUUAAAUGUUAUUUUAAUUAGAAAAUAUGACAACAGCCAAACCUCUUAAAGACGUCUAAUUUAACGCAUCGUACACCCACAUAAGCAUCCCAAAGAUUCAUUUUACAUACUAUUAUUGUGUAAAACAGACUUAGGUACUGGUCCAUUGUACUGUGGUCUUGAACGGAGCGUAAUGGGGACAAGAGGUGGUCACUAGAACGCCAGGUUAUAACUUAUGCCGGAUUUCAUUUUUGAAAUGUUGGGGCAUGAAGAACAACUCAUCAAGAACUGUAAAAAGUAUAUUUCAAUGGAAUGUUCAUGAUCUAUCUUUUUAUAUUUUGAAGAGUAAAAAAAAAUAGAAACAUAUCAAUAAAGUGUCAUAAUUGAACAUAUUUCUACUAUUGAGACUUAAAAUGUAUGAAUGUCAAUGCGAUCUAAUGUGAACCAACCUGCAUUGCAGCUUGAAUGAAUAAGUCAUGAGAUGCUUUUUCAGAGACAAUGAAAUUGCUUAAAAAUAACUGAGAUCGACCUAAAAUAAAUGAAAAAGUAAUCUCAGUUGUGUGUCAGUUUGUUGAAGUUGACUUAUUCCAAACAAAAUAAGUAUGCUGUCAUGGAUACUGACUGGGAAGGCUGUGACAUUGUGAAGCGACUAUUACAGUUAACUUUGUUUAGCAAUCUGACAGCAGUAGGGAGACCACUGAGCACUGA